AUACGUAGGGGACGAGCGUUGUCCGGAAUUACUGGGCGUAAAGGGCGCGCAGGCGGAUAUUUAAGUCAGCUGUAAAAGGCAUGAGCUCAACUCAUGUAUGCGGUUGAAACUGGGUAUCUAGAGUGCUGGAGAGGUAGGCGGAAUUCCCGGUGUAGCGGUGAAAUGCGUAGGUAUCGGGAAGAACACCAGUGGCGAAGGCGGCUUACUGGCCAGCAACUGACGCUGAGGCGCGAAAGCCAGGGGAGCGAACGGGAUUAGAUACCCCGGUAGUCCUGGCCGUAAACGAUGAAUGCUAGGUGUGGGUGUCGAGAGGCAUCCGUGCCGGAGUUAACGCGAUAAGCAUUCCGCCUGGGGAGUACGAUCGCAAGAUUGAAACUCAAAUGAAUUGACGGGG
rnacentral:rRNA from 1 species